GGAGAGGUGGCCGAGUGGUUGAUGGCUCCGGUCUUGAAAACCGGCGUAGGGGAAACCCUACCGGGGGUUCGAAUCCCUCCCUCUCCGCCA
rnacentral:tRNA from 1 species